UUGUCUCUUUGGCACUCAUACCACAUCUUCCUAGUUCUAUAUAUAUGAUUUAAGCUUAUUAUUAUACAUGUACUUUCGCUUUUAAAAAGGGGUUUUACUUCUGUCUUUCCAUCCGUCAGUCCGUCCUUUUCUUUCAGGAACUACUUGACAAGGAUUUCUGAAAUUUGGUUUCAGGGUUAUAUAAGUCAGCUAUAUCCUGUGAUGGGUUUUCAGAUUCAUCACUCAACAACUUCCUGUUUACCAAAAUAUUGAGACAGGGGUAUUACUCAGUGAGAAGUAGCUCACAGUUUUACUUGUUACACUAACAUAUAUGAAGAACACGUCACCAGAGGGUUUUAUAAGAAAUAAAAAAUAAAAAAUAAAAUCCUCCCACCCGCCCCAUUUUUUUCAAAAUUUUGGAUGAAAAUCUACUAAUUAAUUUUAGUUGGCCUUAU
rnacentral:lncRNA from 1 species